rnacentral:rRNA from 1 species
AAUAAUAGUUAAAGUCUUUAAACUUAAAAAAAUUGGCGGUAUUUAAAACUAAUUAGGGGAAUUUGUUUAUUAAAUGAUAAUCCGCAAGAAACCUUACUUUAAUUAAUUUAAUUUAUUUAUUGCCGUUAUCAGAUUAUUUUUUUAGAAAUUAAAUUUUCUAGAAUUUUUAUAAAAAAUUAUUUCAGGUCAUUAUGUAGUUUAUAUUAAAGUUUAGAUGAAUUACAAUAAAUUAUAUUUAUAUGAAUAUUAAAUUGAAAUAUUUAAUUGAAAGUGGACUUAAUAGUAAAAAAUUUAAAUAUUAUAUUAUUUUGAAUUAAGAAUUAAAU